rnacentral:rRNA from 1 species
CCUAGUAAGCGCGAGUCAUUAGCUCGCGUUGAUUACGUCCCUGCCCUUUGUACACACCGCCCGUCGCUACUACCGAUUGAAUGGCUUAGUGAGACUUUCGGAUGUGUUUGGAGCCGCUGGCAACAGCGACACCUUGCGCAGAAGUUAUUCAAACUUGGUCAUUUAGAGGAAGUAAAAGUCAUAACAAGGUUUCCGUAGGUGAACCUGCGGAAGGAUCAUUAAAAAAAAAUUUAAUGAAUGGUCGGGGGGGACUUUUUUUGUGCCCUUCGGCUUUAUUCAACCAACCCGCUCUUGUAUUUUGUAUCAAACAAAAAUUUUUAAAAACACUAAUAAAAUAGUAAUGUAAAAAAAACUUUCAACAACGGAUCUCUUGGCUCUCGCAUCGAUGAAGAACGCAGCGAAAUGCGAUAAGUAGUGUGAAUUGCAGAACUUUGUGAACCAUCGAAUCUUUGAACGCAAAUUGCACCUUUUUCGGAAGGCAUGUCUGUUUGAGGGCACCAUUUAACGAAUAAUGUGCGUGUUGCGUUUUGCGCGGCGUGCACACGUUGAUGAGCUUUCCAAAGAAAAAAAUUUUUUUUUUUUUGGUGGCGCAUAAUGAACAGCGUGAAAGCUUUUCUUAAUUCGAGUGUAGUAAAAACGACGCUUGGGUUGUGAGAAGCACAUCGCGCAGUGGGUGUGGCGGUACCCAGCCCCAACGCCACUCUUUCUCACGAAAGGAAAGUUUAAUCAUCAGGGCCUCAAAUCAGACAAGAGUACCCGCUGAACUUAAGCAUAUCAAUAAGCGGAGGAAAAGAAACUAACAAGGAUUCCCCUAGUAACGGCGAGUGAAGCGGGAACAGCUCAAAUUUUAAAUCUGGCUGCUUCGCAGUCCGAGUUGUAGUUUGAAGGAGUCUGUCGCCAGUGCGACGAUGGCACAAGUCCUCUGGAACGUGGCAUCGUAGAGGGUGGGAAUCCCGUCUCUGGUCGUUGUUGCGCUGGCACACGGCAGGCAUCCGAAGAGUCGAGUUGUUUGGGAUUGCAGCUCCAAAUGGGUGGUAAACUCCAUCUAAGGCUAAAUAUUGGCGAGAGACCGAUAGCGAACAAGUACCGUGAGGGAAAGAUGAAAGGAACUUUGAAAAGAGAGUAAAACAGUACGUGAAAUUGUUGAAAGGGAAACGCUUGAAGUCAGUCGUGCCGGCGGUGAUUCAGCUCGCUUCGCGGAGCGGGCGUAUUUCCUCGCAUGGCAGGUCAGCGUCAGUUUCGCGCGUCGUGAAAGGGCUCGGGUAAGGUGACUCUCUCCGGGGAGUGUUAUAGACCUGAGCAGAUGCGCUGCGCGGGACUGAGGAUUGCAGCGGACACCCUUCGGGGCGCGGCGACCGACCCCUGCUUCAUCACCCUUGUCCGAUAGCGUGCUAACGGGCCGGGGAGCGGUGGGCGCACCGGGUUGGCAAGCCGGCGGCUCCGCUAAGGGCGCUGACGUAAUGGCUUUAAACGACCCGUCUUGAAACACGGACCAAGGA